UUUUUACGCAAGGAGUGAGAAGCAUUAUUUGUUUUAUUUGUUGCAAUUUAUAAUAAAUUUGGACUUGUAAAACGUCUUCAACUGGCUUUUGGAAUUUAAAGUCAGGAAUGAUCAAUUUAGAGAUACAAUUAUGCGUAAAAUAAGCCCUUUGGCGAGCAAAAGAACAUCUUAUAUCGCGACAAAAGCAUAUACCUUGUCAGCGAUAUACAGGGGCUAUUCAAUAACUAAAGUAUAAACAUUUAUACUCGAGUACAACCUUGGUCAUUUCAAAGUCAACAAACUAGAAAUCGUACUGGUAACAUGGCUGGCUGCCGAUUAUCUUGGAUUUGAGGGUUUUGAACAAGAUAUUGCAAGAUUUAAUUAUAAAUACACAAGAUAUACUUGAAGAAUGUAAAAUGAACAGUGAUGAGUGAUGUCAUAUAUUUCUGUGUUUAUUUGGAAAACCUUUUUGGCAAAUCUUGAGAAUAAUGGCUUUGGGAAUGUUGAAAAUAAAAAACUGUCAGAUAGCUGCAUGGACAGCAUGGUUAGAAGCAUACAUGUCAUCGGAUGAAACUCCAACUUUUGUUAAUUGCC